UCUGCCUUGCAACCAAGUCGGGCUGCUGUUUGAAACAAUUCAUCAUCAUUUAUAUUUACACCACUAAGAGCUGAUUUCUCCCAAUUAAUCUUCUGCCCCGAACACCAUUCAAAAAGUCUAAUGGCAUCCUUCAACUUGAGAAGCAUUUGAUCAUCAUACUUGCAAAAAAGUAGGGUGUCAUCAGCAAAUUGGAGUAGGGGAAGAUGGAUUGAAUCCUUACCCACAAGAAAACCCUCAUAUUGCCCAUUAAAGUGAAGAUUAUUGAUGAUUGCUACCAAAACUUCACUUACUAGAAGGAAAAGAAAGGGAGAAAUGGGGUCCCCUUGGCGGAUGCCUCUUGAAGCUAUAAUGCGGCCCCUUGGUUUUCCAUUAAUAAAUAUUGAGAAUUUAGGGUUCUUUAAGCAACCCAUCAUCCAAGCAGUCCAUUUGGCACUGAAUUUUUUCUGGCGUAAAACCUUUUCAAGGAAGUUCCAAUCCACUCGAUCAAAGGCCUUUUCAAGGUCAAGCUUCAAGAUCCAACCCUUUUCUUUUUUGCCCUAUAAUCUUCUACAGCCUCGUUAGCAAUUAAUAUAGGGUCAAGUUUUUGUCUUCCUUCUAUAAAAGCACUUUGGUAAGGGCUGAUGAUUGAGUCCAUUAUAGAUUUUAACCGUUCUGCUAGGACUUUAGCUACUACCUUAUAAGAUAGGGUAGUGAGACUGAUUGGACGAAAAUCUUUCAUUUCCAAGACCAAUUCUUUUUUCUGUACAAGGUAAAUGAAAUUUUCUUUCAUACAAGCAUUCAAUCUACCAUUGCUGUGAAAAUCUUUCAACAAGGCUUCAAAAGUAUCUUUGAAAAUAGGCCAAUGCUUGAUGAGGAAUUCCACGGUAAAACCGUCGGGCCCUGGGGCUUUGUUCCUGCCAAGAGCUUUUAUGCCAAAAAUGUUUCUUCUGUUGGAAACUGGGAAGUUAGUGCAGCAUUCUGAGCUUGAGUGAUACAAGGCCAAUCAAUGAUGAGAGGGAUGGAUCUAUUACCUGGGAUUUUAGUAUCAAGACUACCAAAGAAGAAAACGGUGGAAAAACCCAGAAUUUUCAUCCCCAACAGAUAGCCAAUUAAGCUUGCUUUUCUGAAUAAGGUUGCGCUCUUCAAGAUGGUAAAUACUAAGUAAUUCUGCUGGUAAUGCUGAUCUGAAUACACACUCGUCCUCAUUUAGGCGUAUCAAAUCUGCUAUAGUGUCACAAAUUUCCAGCUCCGCAAGGAUAGAUUUUUCUUUUUCUUUAAGCUUGGCCUACGUAGUGGAAUGCCAAAUUUUAACAGCUACCUUUAUCUUUCUCCAUUGCUCAUGUAGAAUAAAACCAGCCCAUCCAUGGUGAGUGAAGUUGGUUACUGUUUCUUCAAUUAAAAGGUUACACUCAUUGGACAACAGCCAGCUGUUGCAAAACCGAAAGGGAGAGGGACCCCAGAUGAUGGCACCAGCUUCUAAUAAAAUGGGGAAAUGGUCUGAGAAGAUGGCGGCGGGUUUUGCGAGAGACCCGGAGUUUUCAAGAAGGUUAUCCCAAUCUUUGUUUAUAAAGAACCCUAUCAAGCAAUGAUCUGGAAAGGGAACUACCAUCCAUUGACCAAGUGAACCUCCCAUUUUGUAGGGGUAAUUCCGUGAGAUUAACUGCUGCAAUGAAUUUAUUAAAAUGAUGCAUGCUUCUUGUGUUUCUGCCGAAAGGGGAUCUUUCAUGAGCCCAUCUUGUAAUGUUAAAAUCUCCACCUAAACACCAUGCCUCAGCUGUAAGUGCUGACAGUUCUGGCCAAAUCAGUUUUCUUUCACUAUAUCCGCAGGGUCCAUAAACAUUAGUGAUCCAGAAGAUCUGAUUACUUAGGGAGAGAUAUUUUAUUGACAAGGAAAAUCUCCCUUUAAUCACCUGUAUAACAGAAAUUAUACUACUGUCCCACAUUGUUAAAAUUCCUCCGGAGGCACCUAAUGAUUCCACGAAUUCCCAGCCGAUGUCUCUAGAGCUCCAUAUUGAUUUUAUAAUGACAGAAUUGAUGACUUCCAUUUUUUAUUCUUGUAUCAAGACAACAUCCGGAUGAUGAUUUUUUAUGAAUUUCUUCAAUGCUGCUCUUUUUGUGAUGUCAUUUAAACCCCUAGUGUUCCAAGAGAUUAUCUUCAUUAGGCUAAUGAGAGGGGAGACGACUUAUCAAUCUUUCAUUAAACCAAGAUGAUGCCACAAUCAUUGACUGAGGGCAGCAGAUCCAUUGGCAAUUCUGAGGGAACUUUAAUUGGAACAACACUUGCUUCAUCAAAUAGGGAAGAUAGGUCAGCCCCUUCGAUUUCUUCAUUAUUCUUGAAAUUGAAACCAUUUGGAAACCCCAAGGACUCCUGACUACUGACACUAAAUGGAGACUCCAAGGUUUUGGAGGUCGGCUUGUCAAUGGCGGCACGACAAGGGGAGCCUCUUAACUUUACAGUUAAUAUUGGGGAGUUUUGAGUAUUUGAAGUGCUUGAUAGGAGAGCAUGAAUUUACUGACCUGGAAAGAAUUAGAAGUCUGAAUUUUGGAGCUGCAAACCUCCAAAAGGUCAGGAUUGUUUGCUGAAAUAGAAGGCUUUAAGUUGUGCGUCCGAGGGGGGGCUGAAGAUGGAAUUUUUAUGUCACAACCUCCAUUCAAUUCAGACUUCAAUAAGGCAGUCCAUAAAUUUGUUAAUAGCAUUGAAUUGUUUAAAUUACUUUGCUCAUACCAUUGAGACUUCUCCUAUACCUUGUUCUUAUAGUUCUGACAAACCUGCAAUGCAUGGUUUUUGAGGUAGGAAUAUCUUUGUUUUCUUGGCCCUUCUUGCUAAUCUUGUUUAGCCUUGGUUUGUGUUAGAAUUAGUGGGCUUGUUGUGUGUUGAAAGCCCAAGGGUAUUUUUGUAAUUUAUGUUACCCUAAUUAUUCUAUCCUCUUUUAAUUAGGCUCUUGUGUCUAUUAAGUUUCCCCUAUUGUAUCAUUUUGUUGCAUAAGAAAAUAAUAAGAAAUUCUCUACUGUGGUUUUUCUUCUUGUA